UACGGGGGGGGCAAGCGUUGUUCGGAAUUACUGGGCGUAAAGGGUGCGUAGGCGGUUCUCUAAGUCGGAUGUGAAAACUCUGGGCUCAAGCCAGAGCCUGCAUCCGAAACUGGAGGACUAGGGUUCUGGAGGGGAAAGCGGAAUUCCUGGUGUAGCGGUGAAAUGCGUAGAUAUCGUGAGGAAGACCAGUGGCGAAGGCGGGUCUCUGGACAGUUCCUGACACUGAGGCACGAAGGCCAGGGGAGCAAACGGG
rnacentral:rRNA from 1 species